AAAAUGAUAUGUAGAUCUAUUGAGUUUCAACGCUGGACAUUUAACAAAUUUCAUCUUGAGAUAAAGAAGGCAGGGCAAGAAAUGGCUGUCCACACUCUGGACAAGAAAUGAGCAUGCAUUGAUGGAACAUUAUUUACUAUGAUUUAGUUCCCAGAUAAAGAAGGCAGGGCAAGAAAUGACUGUCCACACUCUGGACA
rnacentral:lncRNA from 1 species